UGCGGCUGGAUCCCCUCCUUUCUGGAGCGACGAGUAGAACCGGGCCUCGUGCCCGGGCUCGAAAGUCCUCGAGAUGUCGCCCGCACUGCCCUCCCAUUGCCCACAUUGAUUUUGCUCUUUGACAACCGAAGGCCGGAUGGUGUUGUUGUUAGGGAAUCCAAACCGUGCGUAGCGACGACCCUCCGUGGUCGUCGCUAUGCGAGAACAAGAUCGAGAUCAAACGCAAUAAGGCACAACGGUGGAUGCCUUGGCA
rnacentral:misc_RNA from 1 species